GACACAUGUCCCCUUCUCCUUUCAUUUGCUACCGUGUUCUUUAUUAAGCUUGUCCACGUCUCCUUUUUCAAAACUGGGCUUUUUUUGUUUCAUGUAUUCCUCCAAACCCUAAUCUUCUCCCUAAAAUAUUCAGCCGUUUCUCAAUCUAUUUUUUUCCUCUCAGUCAAUUGUAAGAUGCUUCUCCUACAUCAAAGAUCUAUUUUUUUCUACUCUUCACCUUCAUCGCAAUCUAACAGGUAUUUGGAGGUUCGAUUUCUGUUGAUUUACUUCGAUUUAUUUGGGGUAAAAUCAUUGCAAGCUUGUGUUCCACAUAUAAGAUAUAUUCUCAUUAGCCCACGUAAGUUCAAUAAGCGGAGCAUCCAACUUCAUUCGUCACCGGAAACUUCAAAUUUCAGUGUUAUUUUCAUCCAUGGCCCCUGUUAACAACAAUGAUGAACACCCACCAAAAUUCAAAGUCAAAGAAUCAUCGGAAGUGGCAAUUGGGGCAGUGUUGCUUCCAAACUCAUUGCCUCCAACACGUUAAAGCUCUCAUCUUUUCAUGAUGAAGUGAAGAUGUGGGUGUUUGAAUAAAUAUUGCCUUGUGGUGAAAAACUCACAGAUGCCAUCAAUCGAACCAAUGAAAAUGUGAAAUAUUUACCGGGGAUUAAGCUUGGGCAUAAUGUUGUUGCUGGCCCAGAUCUUGAAAAUGCCGGUAUCGUUUGGUAACAACUUUUAUUCUAGGAAUGAAAAAAGAAGCGUAUUUCUUCCAUAUUUACAGGAAUUUUAAUAAAAUCUACAUGUAUAAUAUUUCUAAAAUUUUCUUCUACUGUAUCGCUAGAAAUGAAAUAGCACCCGCUAUUUCAUGGCCAUCGCUGAUAGGUGAUUUAAAUGUGUAUCUAUAGUAUUGUUGAGAAUUCCGUAGUUCCUUAUAAUUCGAGCACAUCAUUUGAGUUUAUGUUGAUCAACUUUCAGCUUGGAUAAAGUAUGCCACUGUUGACUCUAAUAGAUUUACUGCAAUGGCUAUUAGCAACAUUGCUUUAGCUGAUAUAGGUGUUCCUAAAUCAUUCUUAGAAUCAUUUCCAAAGAAUGUAAAAGGUAGCUUGGGUGUUCUUAUUCAUUGAUAUAUUUGUUGGAAAAAUAUUGUCAGAAGCAUUUAUGGGUCAGAUGAUACACUC